rnacentral:rRNA from 1 species
CAGCCGCCACGGUAAAACGAAGGGUGCAAGCGUUAAUCGGAAUUACUGGGCGUAAAGCGUGCGUAGGCGGUUUGUUAAGUCUGUUGUGAAAUCCCCGGGCUCAACCUGGGAAUGGCAAUGGAUACUGGCAAGCUAGAGUGUGUCAGAGGAUGGUGGAAUUCCCGGUGUAGCGGUGAAAUGCGUAGAGAUCGGGAGGAACACCAGUGGCGAAGGCGGCUUACUGGCUCAUACUGGACGCUGAGGUGCGAAAGCGUGGGGAGCAAACAGGAUUAGAUACCCCCGUAGUCCCUGUCUCUUAUAC